rnacentral:misc_RNA from 1 species
AAACACCCUCAGUUCCCCUCUCUCUCGUUUCGACGGAGGAAAGGGGAGUUGGACUUGAGUGAUCCCAACGGCAGUGAUUUUUUGGAACACUGCUGGCGGGUCGCUUGAAAUGCAGGUGCGGCUGGACACAUCUUCUGAGCUAUAAGCAUUACUUAUUUAGUCCCGUUAAACGGAUUAUAUCUUAUUGCUGCAGCUAAUAUAAAGGUCGAUUGUCUUUGUGCCCGACUGAUGCAGGAAGACAAAGGGAGAUGAAAGUCUCUUUUUGUUCA